AGUCGUAACAAGGUUUCCGUAGGUGAACCUGCGGAAGGAUCAUUACCGAGUGAGGGUCCCCUCUGGGGGCCCAACCUCCCACCCGUGUCUACUGUACCAUGUUGCUUCGGCGGGCGCGCCCGUGCCCGCCGGAGACCCCUCGAACGCUGUUGUGAAUUAAGGUUGUCUGAGUGAGAUUGCAAACUGUCAAAACUUUCAACAACGGAUCUCUUGGUUCCGGCAUCGAUGAAGAACGCAGCGAAAUGCGAUAAGUAAUGUGAAUUGCAGAAUUCCGCGAAUCAUCGAAUCUUUGAACGCACAUUGCGCCCCCCGGCAUUCCGGGGGGCAUGCCUGUCCGAGCGUCAUUGCCACCCCUCAAGCACGGCUUGUGUGUUGGGCCGCCGUCCCCCCCGACUUCCGGGGGGGACGGGCCCGAAAGGCAGCGGCGGCACCGCGUCCGGUCCUCGAGCGUAUGGGGCUCUGUCACCCGCUCUGGAGGCCUGACCGGCGCCUGCCCACCCGUCGAUCUUUCCAGGUUGACCUCGGAUCAGGUAGGGAUACCCGCUGAACUUAAGCAUAUCAAUAAGCGGAGGAA
rnacentral:misc_RNA from 1 species